UCUGGGCAGCCCUCCCCUCCCAUGCCAGUAUGGCUCAGGCCUUCAGUUUGCAAGCUAGUAUCAACUGGGACAGACGCAUCUCUGGCCUCAAAUUCCUUGGCGGUGUUUGCCUUCGUGACGCGCUUUACUGUAUUAUUGUUAUGUGUGGUGGCCAGGAGUUACUGAUCAGUACUGGGGCUGCAUGUGCUUAAGGGCUUCUUUUCCUAAGCGCCAUGGAGAACAAGGUUAACGACCGUGGAGGUCAUUAACGGUCAGCACAGUGUGGCUCGUCUGGUGGCGGGAAUUCUGUUAGCCAAUCAGAAUCACCGGGCGAGGCAAUGAGUACUGGUCGGAGCAUGAACUGAACAGUACUCUACUCACUCCCAUUCGGUCGACAUGCCGUCGUCGUGUGUGUAUGUGACCAGUUGGCCCCAGCUGUGACAGCGUGUUCCACAUCUCCAGCGACACGGACCUUAGGACGUAGUGGCAUGGUCGACUCCGUAUGAUGUUUUCGAAAUCUACCGCUGUUCUGGAUUAUUCGACCCACUCCGCAAAGUAGAUGGUCUUUAGAGUUGAAUCGACUGAAGAGUGGCGGCCAUCUCAUUGGCAUAUACAUAAGGUUUUAGUAUAUAUAUUACUGUACAUAAUAGUAUCAUCUCUUUAACUGUACGUAUAAUGUACCCCGUGUUUCAGUGAUAUAGCUGAAUAUAUCCAUUAGUCGUC